CCCAAAGAAAAAAACAAAUGUUACCCAAUAGGCAAACAAUGCUGAGAGUUCACUUCCUCUAACUCUGUAGUUAAGUUACUCACUCAGUAUAACAUCACCCUCCUGCCAGGGGUUGAAGUCAGGAAGUAGUUUAUUUUCGCUGAAACUGAAGGGGGAAGUUAAAGAGAAAAAUAGCUGCAACUUGGUCAAUUCAGGAAAACCAGGUACGAAAAAAGAGGAGCAAGUUAAAGGGAAAGCCAGCUCGGAUUUGCUCACCAGUAAAAGGCAAAAAUCCCAGUGUUAUUCAUCUGCAUUUGGUGUGAAAGACAAAAGCUCAACUGGGAUCUGAGGCUUUCUGUGUCAGAGGGCAAGGAGUCAAUGGGGUUAUGAGGAAGUAAGACCACUUGAGACAUCAAAGAAAAGUAGAUCAAAUCACUAGACUCCUCCAAACAGGAGUGGGUGAAGACAAAAAGUGGAGAGAAUCCAGAGGGAAGAGAGGAGUAGGGAAAAUGGUGGAAAGGGAAGGUUUUUGAGAUGGAAGGCAGAGAAUGGGAACAAAAGAAGAAAAAGCUGUUUGUUUCAAAUCAAUAUUCUCCAAGAGGAUGUCUUGUUUCCCCAGGGAUAUUCUGAGGGACUCACAGGAUCAGAGCUGCGACACUUCUAACAUAUGAAUUCUCUCAAUUCUGAUGCCCUUUGACCUCUGCCACACAAUGCCAAGACAAACCCAGACCCCAGGCCCUGGAAACAGAGGAGGGGCAGGACGUGAUAGAGCUUCAGCAACAUGGAGAGGAGAUAGCCGGUCUGGCUAGGAUGGAAGAAAUGUACAUGGAGAAGAAAGACAGAAGAACCAUCACUGAGCACUAAACUAAUCAGCCAUAAUGUGCAGAUUGACUGGCAAGCCUAUCACCACCUUGAUAACAGAUGACAUUAAAGAGAAAGGUAAAUAUAUGCUGUUUUGCUAAGUUUGUGCAAUGGCCAGAGAGGAAGAAAAAAUAUGUAGAAUGAAUGAACACAGACUACCAGCCCACUUAGAUAGAAAUAUACAUCCAUUGUAAAUAUAUUUCAGUAUAGUUGUAAACAGCUAUUGUUUGGCACUGAAAAAGUAGGUAUUUGUCAUCACAGAAGAAUUAAGAUUAUUUUGAGGCUUUUCUUAUCCAUGUAUAUCCAUGAAUAAUCACAUAUACAUACAUAUAUUUCAAAAUUGUCUUCUAUGAAAGAUUUUAUAUAUGUAAUCCUGUGUGUAUAUAAAUAUAAUAUAUAUAUAUAUAAUAUGUAUUCUUAAUCUUUAGAAUAUGAUUUAGAAAUUCUAAUUUGGGGUCAUAAUUAAAAAUAUGUUUCAUGAUAAGAAUACUAGAGGAGAGAGACAUUCAUUUUUUAAUGCAUAUAUAGAGAUGGAUAACAUAGUCAACAAAUAUCCCCCAAAACUUGGUGAGAAGAAACUGUUAUUUUCCAAAACUUUGAUAUGAUGAGGCAAAUAGAAAGCAAAAUCCCUCAUGGAGGCAGAAGAGGAGGAACUUAACAAAUGCCUGUUGAAUAAAUGAAUGAAUGUUUGAGCAUCUACAAUUUUGCAAUGAAUGUUCAGUUUCUUUUUACACAAAAACAUGGCCCUUUCAAAAAGUUACAUUCCUGUUUAUAAGAGACAAAUCUCUCCCCACCCUCUCACUUUCAUUCCUUCCCCUUCAUUUCUCCCUCUCUUGCUUCCUUCCUUCCUGCCUUCCUACCUGCCUACCAUUCUUCUCCAGCAAAUAUUGAGUGCCUUCUCUGGAGCUGGUAUUGUAUGCUGUAUUAUGAAUAAGACAGAUAAAAGAGGCUUUUUGCCCUUAAGAAACUUAUUAUACUCAAGAAAAG
rnacentral:lncRNA from 10 species